CCUUCGAUAGCUCAGUUGGUAGAGCGGUGGACUGUAGAACGGCAAUUGCAAGAAAUAGACAUCCAUAGGUCGCUGGUUCGACUCCGGCUCGAAGGA
rfam:Drosophila mojavensis strain TSC#15081-1352.22 Ctg01_11108, whole genome shotgun sequence.